rnacentral:rRNA from 1 species
UACGUAGGCAGCGAGCGUUGUUCGGAGUUACUGGGCGUAAAGAGUGCGUAGGCGGUUUUCUAAGUUUGGUGUGAAAUCUCCCGGCUUAACUGGGAGGGUGCGCCGAAGACUGGAAGGCUUGAGUAUGGGAGAGGUAAGCGGAAUUCCUGGUGUAGCGGUGGAAUGCGCAGAUAUCAGGAGGAACACCGAUGGCGAAGGCAGGUCUCUGGGCCACUACUGACGCUGAGAAGCGAAAGCAUGGGGAGCGAACAGG